UACGGAGGGUGCGAGCGUUGUCCGGAAUCACUGGGCGUAAAGGGCGCGUAGGCGGCCUGAUAAGUAGGGGGUGAAAUCCUGCGGCUUAACCGCAGGGCUGCCUUCUAAACUGUCAGGCUCGAGCUCAGUAGAGGCAGGUGGAAUUCCCGGCGUAGCGGUGGAAUGCGUAGAGAUCGGGAAGAACAUCAGUGGCGAAGGCGGCCUGCUGGGCUGUUGCUGACGCUGAGGCGCGACAGCGUGGGGAGCAAACAGG
rnacentral:rRNA from 1 species